GACGAACGCUGGCGGCGUGCUUAACACAUGCAAGUCGAACGGGCCUUGUCCCCUUUUUUUUGGGGGGGGGGGUGAGUGGAGAAGGGGUGAGUAACACGAGAAUAAACCGCCCCGCAUUUCUGGAUAACCGCGAAAAGGGGGGGAUAACAGGGGGUGUUCUGACCCGCGCGCAUGGGUGGGUUUGGAAAGUUUCGACGGGUUUGGGGUGUUGUUGUGGGGGGUGGUCUCGCGGCCUCUCAGUGUGGGGGUGGGGAGGUGGCCUGCCAAGGCUUUGACGGGUAGCCGGCCUGAGAGGGUGGGCGGUCACACUGGGACUGAGACACGGCCCAGACUCCUACGGGAGGCAGCAGUGGGGAAUAUUGCACAAUGGGCGCAAGCCUGAUGCAGCGACGCCGCGUGAGGGAUGGAGGCCUUCGGGUUGGGAACCUCUUUCGCCAGUGAAGAAGGUCCUGCUCUUUGUGGUGGGGUUGACGGUAGCGGGGUUAAUGAAGCGCCGGCUAACUACGUG
rnacentral:rRNA from 1 species